AUCAGGGUGUUUCUUGAUUGAACUCUGACUUUUAUAAAGCACAGUUAUAGAAUUUGGGGUUAUCUAAAUUUGGGGAUUUAGGAGAUUUUCUGUUCAAAUCCCAAGCUCAGUAUCCAGAGAUCGGAGAUUGGCACGAGUUGAGCUGACAAGAACCCAAAGAUUAGAAGACAGACAUGCAGGCAGAGACUUCACGGAAAGGUGACAGAGGCAAGGAAACCACAAACACUGAAGUGCUAGCAGAGGAGGUAAAGAGCCACUAACGUGAAGAAGAGAGCACGGAAGGCUUCUAGUUGGAGAUCGUGGACAAGGUGUGAAGCGUUUUAAAAGAAAUGUGGAAGAGACAUUACAGCAACAUUUUUCACAGUCAAGUAGUAUCCCCAAGCCAACGUUUUAAAGAUUUAUUUUGAUUUUUCAUCAUGCGUGUGCGCAUGUGUGCGCAUGCGCACAUGUGUGUGUGCCCGUGCGCAUGACUGAAGUUGCUUGGUUACAGUUUCUAGGGGGCAAAUUUCCUGGAGCCAGAGUUACAGGCAGUUGUGAGCCACUCAGUGCAGAUGCUAGGGACUGAACUUGGGUUCUUUACAAGAGCAGCACACACCCUCAGCUGCUGAGUCAGCUCUCCAGCCCCUCUCUCCAAAUAAAUAUUUUAAUGUAAACGUUGAUUCAGCCUGAAGUCCCGAUUCUCUAAGAAGUAUGAUGUUCAGAGUGCUGGCCCCCAGAUCGCAUCUGGUCAUAGUUCUGCAAUACUGCUAAUUUCCAUGUGGAACCUGUGGAGGUUACUGCAUGCUGAUUUUACAGUGGAGAGGUGGGGAAGUAGGAGAUAAAAUGUGAGAUCGGAG
rnacentral:lncRNA from 1 species